CGAUCAUAAUUUUCCCUCCUAAUCCUUUCCUAAUUCUGUCCAAACGUUUUAGUUCCUUUGAAUUUGGAUAUGCCCAGCACACACGGUUGGUUUGUUCACAAUGUACCAUAAACACCGCCUUUACACGUCCUUGUACCUUCUCAAAUGCUAACUGGUAAUCGGCCACACCUUAUGUUGUCUACUUGGGUAGUAACCCAAUUUCCUGGUGCACCCAUAUAGCAAAAACGUGUGGCAAACCUCACACACUAACCUCUUCUGCUGUUGAAAGUUGUAUGGGUUCACUCUUUGUUUCAUAAACUUGGUUUUUUUGUAUCUAGGUUGUGCGACAAAUAACAAUCUUGGCGCCAAUCACGUAUCAGAAGCUAUCAAUUCACAAACAAAACAAAGUGCUCUCAAUUUAUGUACUUUUUGAUGUCUAAUAGUAGAAGAGAUUCUUAAAGCUUCAUAUAUUGCACAAAAGAUCACUUGGUUGAUGCACGAAAUGAGUCAUUACCUUGUCAACAAUUCUCGACUCUUCAGUCCAUGAUCAAUAUCUCCAAUGGCAGUACUAUCUUAUGCGAACAUCUACACUUUCCAUCUCAAUCCAGCCUAUAUCUGUCAAGAAUCAGGUGAUUGUUGGUUUCAGAUUGUGGCUACUAUAAACUAGUCUAGUAUAUUCUCA
rnacentral:lncRNA from 1 species